rnacentral:rRNA from 1 species
GACGAACGCUGGCGGCGUGCUUAACACAUGCAAGUCGAACGGUGAAGCGCCUUCCUUUUUGGUGGGUGUGGAUGAGUGGCGAACGGGUGAGUAACACGUGAGUAACCUGCCCCCUUCUUCUGGAUAACCGCAUGAAAGUGUGGCUAAUACGGGAUAUUCUGGGCCUGUCGCAUGAUGGGUCUGGGAAAGAUAUUGUUUCGGUGGGGGAUGGGCUCGCGGCCUAUCAGCUUGUUGGUGGGGUGAUGGCCUACCAAGGCGGUGACGGGUAGCCGGCCUGAGAGGGUGGACGGUCACACUGGGACUGAGACACGGCCCAGACUCCUACGGGAGGCAGCAGUGGGGAAUAUUGCACAAUGGGCGCAAGCCUGAUGCAGCGACGCCGCGUGAGGGAUGGAGGCCUUCGGGUUGUGAACCUCUUUCGCCAGUGAAGCAGGCCUGCCUCGUUUGUGGGUGGGUUGACGGUAGCUGGAGAAGAAGCGCCGGCUAACUUCGUG